CACGUAGGGCGCGAGCGUUGUCCGGAAUUAUUGGGCGUAAAGAGCUCGUAGGCGGCCUGUUGCGUCCGCUGUGAAAGCCCGGGGCUUAACCCCGGGUCUGCAGUGGAUACGGGCAGGCUAGAGGUAGGUAGGGGAGAAUGGAAUUCCCGGUGUAGCGGCGAAAUGCGCAGAUAUCGGGAGGAAACCCGGGGGCGAAGGGGGUUCGCGGGGCCUACCUGACGCUGAGGAGCGAAAGCGUGGGGAGCGAACAGG
rnacentral:rRNA from 1 species